ACCUGGCUGGCUCAGUUGGUAGAGCAUGCAACUCUUGAUCGUAGGGUUAUGGGUACGAGCCUGAUGUUGGGUG
rnacentral:tRNA from 1 species